CAGUUAUAGUGGAAAUGAUACAGAAAAUUGGAAAGACACAGAAAAUUAGCACAUCCUCUGUGCAAGGGUGACACACAAACUUGUGAAGUGUUUAAUAUUUGU
rnacentral:snRNA from 1 species